AUGAUUGCUUGAACUUGAUCUUGAUUUUGUCUUCGUUCUUGAGCUUGAACUUUAUUUCUUGAACUUGAACUUGAAGCUUGAAACUCGUGGAGAAAUUUGCAGCGUUUGAUCCACAAGCUCUUUCUUGCCUUUUUUAUAACUUCUGGUGUCUUUUCUGAAUUAUGAGGACCCCUAUUUAUAGUUAUGGAAAGGAAGAGUUAUAAUAAGAACAAACUCUUUCUGACCAAU
rnacentral:lncRNA from 1 species